rnacentral:rRNA from 1 species
UGGGGAAUAUUGGACAAUGGGGGGAACCCUGAUCCAGCCAUGCCGCGUGUGUGAAGAAGGCCUUAUGGUUGUAAAGCACUUUAAGCGAGGAGGAGGGUACUAGUAUUAAUACUACCAGGUACUGGACGUUACUCGCAGAAUAAGCACCGGCUAACUCUGUGCCAGCAGCCGCGGUAAUACAGAGGGUGCGAGCGUUAAUCGGAUUUACUGGGCGUAAAGCGUGCGUAGGCGGCUAAUUGAGUCGGAUGUGAAAUCCCCGAGCUUAACUUGGGAAUUGCAUUCGAUACUGGUUAGCUAGAGUGUGGGAGAGGAUGGUAGAAUUCCAGGUGUAGCGGUGAAAUGCGUAGAGAUCUGGAGGAAUACCGAUGGCGAAGGCAGCCAUCUGGCCUAACACUGACGCUGAGGUGCGAAAGCGUGGGGAGCAAACAGG